rnacentral:rRNA from 1 species
AAGACCUUGCACUUUUGGAGCGGCCGAUGUCUGAUUAGCUAGUUGGUGGGGUAAUGGCCUACCAAAGCUUCGAUCAGUAGCUGGUCUGAGAGGACGGCCAGCCACACUGGGACUGAGACACGGCCCAGACUCCUACGGGAGGCAGCAGUGGGGAAUUUUGGACAAUGGGSGCAAGCCUGAUCCAGCCAUGCCGCGUGAGUGAAGAAGGCCUUCGGGUUGUAAAGCUCUUUCAGCCGGGAAGAAAAGGUUGCGAYUAAUAAUCGCAAUUCMUGACGGUACCGAAAGAAGAAGCACCGGCUAACUACGUGCCAGCAGCCGCGGUAAUACGUAGGGUGCGAGCGUUAAUCGGAAUUACUGGGCGUAAAGSGUGCGCAGGCGGUUUUGUAAGUCAGAUGUGAAAUCCCCGGGCUUAACCUGGGAACU